rnacentral:lncRNA from 1 species
UCACAAAUAAACCCACGAGAAUCGGUUUCUCAAAACCGAUUACCGAACAAACCGGAAGUGCCGAAAUCGCACCGAGACUCCGUCGGGACCCACGAACCGUCCCAGAACGUACCGACUCGUGCUACGAGUCAUCCGCUGCCACUAAACAUAAGAAAUCGUGCAUCAUGGCAGCAAACACCACUCCUUACGUCGAAACAAUUAUCGUCGGAUAAUCGUUUCGAUCCGGGUUCCAGGAAGUGUCUAAUUCGACACCGAAACCUACCGUCGCUCACCCG